CCAAAAAGAACUUAUUCCAUCGACAGGGUCGGGUGGGAGAAUAUACUUGGCACCCUGACGACAAUCCUACGGGUGGCAAAGAAGCACUCGCAAACCGAACAAAGCAUCGAAUAAGAAAGGAACCGAGGGGGAAGUGAAAUGGUAUAAAACGGACAGUUGGUUGCACCUCGAUUUCUCAGUCGUGUGAAAAAGCUCAUUCGAGUAGAGGCUGAUUUAUUGAGCAGAGGUGAAGAGUGGUUUUGUAGUUAUCAAUAAUUAAUCAAUCUAACAGGGUUAGUAUCGACUUGAAGAGAAUCUAAUAUUGUGUAUAAUAAUUGUUAAAAAUGUCGAUUGCAAAGCCUUUGAAGAAGGCAGUAGCUGCUGUCAUUCUUGAUUUGGAUGGUACCCUUAUUAAUACAGAUGGCAUAUUGGGCGAUGUUUUAAAAGCUUUAUUGCUCAAGUACGGAAAACAAUGGGAUGGGAGAGAAGCUCAAAAAAUAGUGGGGAAGACACCUUUGGAAGAAGCUGCUAUAGUGGUGGGAGAUUAUGAGCUUCCUUGUUCAGUUGAUGAAUUUGUGACUCAAAUCACCCCAUUGCUCUACGAUCAGUUUUGCAACAUUAAAGCUCUUCCUGGUGCCAAUCGGUUGAUUAAACAUUUGAGUGGUCAUAAUGUGCCUCUGGCAUUGGCUUCAAACUCUCCAAGGGCAUAUAUAGAAUCCAAAAUUUCUUAUCAACAGGGAUGGAAGGAAUCCUUUUCUGUCAUCAUCGCUGGUGAUGAAGUGAGAGCAGGAAAGCCAUCUCCUGAAAUAUUUUUGGAAGCUGCUAAAAGGCUAAAUAUUGAACCAUCCCGCUGCCUUGUCAUUGAGGAUUCUUUGCCAGGUGUUACUGGUGGUAAUGCUGCUGGCAUGGAAGUAGUUGCUGUACCAUCCAUUCCAAAACAAACUCAUCUUUAUAUAGCAGCAGAUGAAGUGAUCAACUCUCUACUUGAUUUACAACCUGAAUUGUGGGGCCUCCCUCCAUUUGAUGAUUGGAUAGAUGGUACUUUGCCAUUAGAAAUUUGGCAUUUAGGUGGUUCUGUGGUUAAGGGAUUUGGUCGUGGCUCAAAGGUUCUUGGAAUCCCUACCGCUAAUUUAUCUACCAAAGGUUACUCAGCACUUCUUUCGGAACAUCCAUCUGGUGUGUACUUUGGUUGGGCUGGAUUAUCUGCACGAGGUGUUUACAAGAUGGUCAUGAGUAUUGGUUGGAACCCAUAUUUCAACAGCACUGAAAAGACAAUAGAGCCUUGGUUGCUUCAUGAAUUUGAUGGGGAUUUCUAUGGGGAGGAAUUGCGCCUUGUGAUAGUUGGCUAUAUUCGACCAGAGGCCAAUUUUACAUCACUUGAGAGCUUGAUAGCAAAGAUUCACGAGGAUAGAAGAAUUGCAGAGAGAGCUCUAGAUCUUCCAUUAUACCUGAAAUACAAGGAUGACCCAUAUUUGAAAGGCUCUUCCCUGUGAUCGUGGCAAGCAUCCAUAAACUUCAUGACCCUUGAAACUUUUACAGAGCUUACAUUGCAGACAGCAUUUGCCCAUUACAGAAGACAUUGGUUUGUGACCAUAUUGUAUUCUCAUUUCAUGAAAUGUUAGGCCCGUCUCCAAAUCACCGUGGGUAUAAAACUGAAACAACCCCCCUGAAAUCCCCCAAUUAUUGUUACUGAUGAUAUAUGUACCGGAAAAUUGUUGAUGAUAUACUAAAAUUAUAGUUGGGAAGCAUUUAUGCAUCCUCAUGUUUGAGCCUUUAGUACCAUGAAUAAAAACCCUUACUCCA